rnacentral:lncRNA from 1 species
GACCAAUAUACCGUUUAUUGUAUAAAUGAGUCUUACGUUAACACAGACAAUAACCAAUAACACUAACCCUCCACUGAGGGAGCAAUCAACAACACUAUCCCUCCACUGAGGGAGCAAUGCCACAACGAAGAGCCCACGUAGCUCCGACUCGCGACCGACAGCGACCACACUCUGUUCGCCUCUCUGGCCCACCGCCCCAUCUGCUUUCAUCCCUGCAGCUUUAUAGCAAUCCACGUGAUUGCUGAGGGGCUGCAGGUGCGGCUGAUCAGUCCGAUGGGGAGGGCGGUACCUGGAGCAGCACACAAAACAGCAGAGGAAAAACACACACACGUAACAACAGUCAUGCCAAAGACACGAGGAACCAGAAGAACCGACAAGAGCCAAAACCCUGAUGACCUGCUGCAGUCUGAUAAUGAAGUUGUAGAGAUUCAACCGAAAGGCUCUGCUCCAACCAUGGCUAAGUUACGGGAGGACUAUAAAUUACUGAAAGAGGAGAAUCGGCUUCUGAAAGAGGAUGAACCGGCUUCUGAAAGAGGAGCGGGAUUUCCUUAGGGAAAAAGGUCUCAACCCUGUGAAGACUGGCCCUUCAACAACUUCUAAAGGGUCCCACGAAAGGAUGGUUAAGGAUUCUUCAGACUCUUCGGCAUCUGACUCUGAGACAGACUCCUCCUCCUCUGAAGGAGGGAAGAGGAAGAGGAAGAAGAAGAAGACGAUCAAGAAAACCCGCACAGCAUUUGGGAAA